CCACUAAGCACCUUCAAAACAGAUUUGGUAGCCUUUUAGGCACAGUGGGAAGCAUGCAUGAAACACCUACUGCCAAGCACCUACAGCAGUGAAAUGCUUCAACAUCUUUAAUCAUGACUCCUGGCCAACUGAGAAAGAGAAACUCUUGGACUACGGUGCAGAAGAGCUUGAUUUUCUGCUAAAGCAUUUCUCUCCUGUCCUAGAAAGGAAUGGAUGUGAACAAGAUCUAGCUAAAGAGGAGUUUCAGGCACUGAAAACAAUGAUCACAGUCUCUUUCAUGGAUAAGAGCUACCUCGGACUGUGGGACAUCAUGUUGUCUAAGGAACCAUACUGCUCUGACUACAAACAUCCUUCAGUUAGUUCAUAUUAUGUUGGUGCUCCCUGUG